AUUGGCCCGCGUCCGAUUAGCUAGUUGGUGAGGUAAUGGCCCACCAAGGCGACGAUCGGUAGCUGGUCUGAGAGGAUGAUCAGCCACAUUGGGACUGAGACACGGCCCAAACUCCUACGGGAGGCAGCAGUGGGGAAUAUUGGACAAUGGGCGCAAGCCUGAUCCAGCCAUGCCGCGUGAGUGAUGACGGCCUUAGGGUUGUAAAGCUCUUUCGUCAGGGACGAUAAUGACGGUACCUGAAGAAGAAGCCCCGGCUAACUUCGUGCCAGCAGCCGCGGUAAUACGAAGGGGGCUAGCGUUGUUCGGAAUUACUGGGCGUAAAGCGCGUGUAGGCGGGUCUUUAAGUCAGGGGUGAAAUGCCAGGGCUCAACCUUGGAACUGCCUUUGAUACUGGAGAUCUUGAGUCCGGGAGAGGUGAGUGGAACUGCGAGUGUAGAGGUGAAAUUCGUAGAUAUUCGCAAGAACACCAGUGGCGAAGGCGGCUCACUGGCCCGGUACUGACGCUGAGAUGCGAAAGCGUGGGGAGCAAACAGGAUUAGAUACCCUGGUAGUCCACGCUGUAAACGAUGGAUGCUAGCCGUUAGGCAGCUUGCUGCUUAGUGGCGCAGUUAACACUUUAAGCAUCCCGCCUGGGGAGUACGGUCGCAAGAUUAAAACUCAAAGGAAUGAC
rnacentral:rRNA from 1 species